rnacentral:rRNA from 1 species
UACGAAGGGGGCGAGCGUUAUUCGGAAUCACUGGGCGUAAAGCGUGCGUAGGCUGUUCAGAAAGUCAGGAGUGAAAGCCCAAGGCUCAACCCUGGAAGUGCUCUUGAAACUUCUGGACUAGAAUUCAGGAGAGGAUAGCGGAAUUCCCAGUGUAGCAGUGAAAUGCGUAGAUAUUGGGAGGAACGCCAGUGGCGCAAGCGGCUAUCUGGACUGACAUUGACGCUGAGGCACGAAAGCGUGGGGAUCAAACAGG